UACGGGGGGUGCGAGCGUUGUCCGGAUUCACUGGGCGUAAAGGGCGCGUAGGCGGCCUGGUCAGUCGGACCUUUAAGAGCGGGGCUCACCCCCGUGGUGGGUUCGGGACGGCCGGGCUGGGGCGCGGCAGAGGGGGACGGAAUGCCGGGUGUAGUGGUGAAAUGCGUAGAGAUCCGGCGGAACACCGGUGGUGAAGACGGUCCCCUGGGCCGAGGCCGACGCUGAGGCGCGAGAGCGCGGGGAGCGAACGGG
rnacentral:rRNA from 1 species